CGUCGCCCAACGACCCAUUUUCUACUAGAUGGCAGCGGCUAUGAGAACCCGGAGGAUGGAGCCUUGGGCCCUGAGGACGAGGACUCCUUCUCCAGCGGUAACUGGGGUCCCCCAGGGCCUCAGAGAAGUGGGAGGACCCUCAAGAGCCCAAAAGGGGCAGGUGUGAUCCCUGGGCCUCCCUUUCCCCCCCUUCUGCAGCAGCCCAGUCUUAUGAGAAUGAGGGCGAAGAGCUGGCCCAGCCAGUGGCCAGGACAGUAGGUGUGUGUGAGGAUGGGGGCAUACCUAGGGGUCAGGGGAAGGCCUGGUGGCCAGGAGGAAUGGUGACUUCUCUCUUCCUUCUCUAGACCUCCUGAGCCCAGACCUCCUGAGCCCCAAUGGGCCUGCCUGGGACCCCAGCCGGGAGGCCACUUCCCUUGGGUCCCAGUCCUAUGAGGAUAUGAGAGGGAUCCUGUAUGCAGCCCCCCAGCUCCACUUCCUUCGGGCCCAGCCUGGUCCCAAUCAUGAGGAAGAUGCAGACUCCUACGAGAACAUGGAUAAUCCUGAUGGGCCCGAGCCAGCAUGGGGAGGAGGGGGCCACAUGGGCACCUGGACCACCAGGUGACCCCCUCCAGAGCCCAGGCCUCCUUGGGCCCCCAAUAUACCACACCUGACUCAAAUCUGGGGACCCCAAGCAGAACUUGUUCGACCUCUGGAGCAACGCUGCUGAGGAUGUGUGUGUGUGGAUGUGUGUGUGCGCGUGUGCAUGUGUACGCAAGUGAAACUUCCCAGCCCUCUUUCCUCUCCCCAAAUAAACUCAGCGAGCUCUUCCAAUCCUCCGAAGUCGUGUGCUUGUGUGGGCGGGGAAGGAAAGGUGAGAAUGUGUGCAUCCCCCCAACCCCGGCUCUGGCCAAGGAGGGAGGGCUGCAGCCUCCAUCUAACAAGCCCUUUUCCCUCUGGUGCCUUGGCCUUCACCCAUUGCCCCCACUUGCCUGCCCACCCACCUAAUUCCUCACCAGCCACCCUCCCACCACCCAGUUAUGCAGGCAUUGUUUGUUCAUUAGCUGUGUGCUGGGUGCAUAGUGCAGAAGGAACAAUUAGGAACUGGCCAACUAGUUAGGAAGCAUCAGUUAUCAUCCCUGACGUUUAUUGAGCACCUCUGUCGGUCUAAGCACUCAUAGCAGUUCACCCAUUUCAUCCUGCCAAUAACCUCACCAGGUUGUUCAAGAGACUUUAUGUCUAUUACUCAUUUCCUCUUCACAAACAACCAGAUGAGGUAGGUAUAUUAUUCUUAUGCCCAUUUCAUAGAUGAGGACACUGAGGCAGAGAAGUCGGAUCACAUGCCCAAGCUUCGCCUAGUUGGUAAGUGGAGGGCUCAGGGCCUGAACUUUCUAGAGCCCACAUUCAACCUUGACACUCUCUCUGUAGGUGCAAUUUUAUAGAUGGGAAACUGAGGUUCAGAGAAGCUCAGCUGCAUGUCUGAGGUCAUGCAACUAGCAUUUGGCAGACCUAGGAUGUGAAUUCAGAAAUCUGCCUGCAGUUGCAGCUUCUGUACCUUAUGACCUAAUAUAAAGCCUGCCUGCUCCUGAUUUAAACCAUCAGCAGCCGCUGAAGUCAUUAGGUAGCAAGUGACACCACACCCAAAUUCUUGUCUCAGGAAGCUGGAAUUGAAUCAGUUGCUGAUAAUCUUGGUGCCUUCUGCCUGGACUCUCUGCCACAAGUCUCCUCAGCGCCAGUGGCCUUCUGAAGCCCAGGACUGACCUGUCCCUCUCCUGCUCAAGAAAUUUCAAUACUCCCUUUAAGAUUAAAAUUUUUCAGUAUUUAAAUUUUUAUUUCUAGAAAUCCUUUUCUUACUGCACCUAUUUUUGUUUUUAUAAACUCUAUUCCUUCCUU
rnacentral:lncRNA from 1 species